CACAACAUCUUCUGUCACUACAUAUCCUCUCUCCUGCUUUACUGCUGGAUAUUCCUGUAGAUGUGCAGUUCUUCAAACAAAACACCAUUCUGAUGGCUCACCUCAAUUCCAUUUUUCCACAGAAGGCAUGAUGUCAGAUGACCGAUUGAUUUGCACAUCAAAGUACGAAGACCAGCAAGCAGAAUGCAGGCCCUGUGGAUGCUGUUCGGAGAGCAGUGCA